UUUGAAGAUCUUUCUAGCUUUUGUAUGCCGUAUCCUAGGGUAAUCUGUUCUGGUAUUUCCGCCUUAAUUUGUUUUGUCCUGAAAAGAAUAGCUGUUGUCUUUUCCUUGUUUAGGAUGAGUUGAUUUGUGUUGAACCAUUUUUCAAUCUUGAUGAGAUGUUGUCUUGCCUUGUUCUUUUCCCAGGAUAAGAUGUUUGUGUCAUCGGCAUAUUGAGUUAGGAGGGAUUCUAUAUUCUCUUCUGUGUUGAUUAUUUGUAAGUUUAUAUUGGGAUUCCCUUCGUAUUUCAGUUCUUCCAUUUCUGUAAUCUCUUCCGUGUUGAUUAUCUGUAAGUUAUUGGGAUCGAAUUCCAGUUCCUUCAUUUCACGUUGUUCUGUUAGAUAGUUCUCCAAGUCAUUUACAUAAGUUAUGAACAAGAAAGGGCCCAAUAUACCUCCUGCUCUAUACCUAGUUGUUUCAUAGCUAUUUGUGAGAAACCUUUUAUUCCAUCUUUCUCAACUGCUACAUAUUGUCUUCUUUCCUUCAGAUAAGUUUCCAGCCAUUUAUAUGCUUGCUUGACCUCUUAUUCCGUACAUCCAGAGUUUGUAUUCCAAAAGAUCUGAAGCUAGUUCUUCCAGUGCUGCUAGUGGUUAUUCAGUAGUUAUUCAUUGAAAAAACGAGAAAGAAAUUCAAAAAACUUCUGACAAUUAUGACUACAAUGACAAUCGUAUAAAGAAGCCAUUAGAACAUUUAUUAGUAGACGUCUUUAAAAUCAAUGAACUGAGUAUUAGCUUCGUACAUUCAUUCAUAGGUGGCCGCACUGCCGCAACUGUAUUACCGAUUGCCUGCCUCGACUGAAUAAUUAAUCCUUUCGCCAUUUUGGCCCCCUUUCGGGUUUCAUUCCUUUGAAGAACGGUUUUUCAAGUGAUUAUCUUCCUUUUUACAAGCUUUUCGUACCGGAAAAAUUCGUGACUUUUGAAAUUUUUCGCGUUUUCCGUGUCGCAUAAUACUCAACAGUUAUUCCGACUCAUCGUUUAUAAAGAAGAACAAUUAAGCUGCCAUUACACAAUGCAGAUUUUCAACGGAAGGAAAGUACGCUGGGACUGAAAUUGAAUCAAGGAAUUGUUUUCAAGUGAGUUUCAACAUGAAGUCGUGAAGGGAAUGACUUCAAAAAUGUAAAAUAGUGGAAACUGUUGUUCAUCACGUAUGGAUUGCAACGAAAACAGAAUCGAGUUUUUCUUCAAUGUGAGUAAAUUCAUACAUGUAACGUGUAAAAAUAUUUCGAGAUUCCAAAAAUUUGAUGGUUAUGU